rnacentral:misc_RNA from 1 species
GUCACGCCCGAAGUCAUUACCCUAACCAGCAAUGGAGGGGGACGCCGAAGGCAGAGCUAGUGACUGGGGUGAAGUCGUAACAAGGUAGCCGUACCGGAAGGUGUGGCUGGAUCACCUCCUUUCCAGGGAGACCUGAGAAAUGAAUUGAGUUCAAACGCAUCAAUCAUUACUCUCACAUCCCAGGUCGGUCGGGGUCAAACCAGAAGGCUUUCAAACUCAGAGCAGGGCGGGAGAUGGGCUAUUAGCUCAGGUGGUUAG